CCAGAUUCAGAUGUUUUGUUAAUAAGAGGAUCUAAGGACUCGAUGUGCAUAUAUAUAGUGUAUAUGUAAAAGGUGAUGAUGACUUGGAAUAAUAAUGGAUAUGAAGAAGAGGAAGAUGAAGAGGAAAUUUUCGAGACGGAAACGAACAGAAAGAGGAUAAAAAGGGAUGGUGGCAAAAAGCAGUUGGGGGAAAGGAUCGGUGGGGGAGUUUUCAUGGUGGGGGAGACAGUAGACUAGUUUCGUGGAAGUUGCAUGGAAAUUAAUACUCUCUGUUCAUAUGUGAUGGAGCGUCUUUUAUUUUUGCACAAAGAAACAUUUUUAGAUUUGAAGGGCAAUUUCCUAUCUCUGCCGCUACAGACAACAUACAUGCACGUCCCUUAUUUACUCCAUUUGGUAUGCUCACCCCUUUAUUCUUUGUCUCAAUCACACCAAAUUCUUUUUCUUUUGGAGUUUUUCUUUUUAAAAUUUCUUGUAUUUAUAUUGCCACUGUGUGAUAACCACGAUGAUUGUAUGAGAAAUUGACAAAAAAAUUCCCUUAUGUUUGAGUAGGUCUAAGAUAUAGUCCCUUAAUCAAAUAUACUCUUUUUGGGUAAUUUUGGUUCUAUAAGUUUGUUAAAAAUAACACUUUUGAUCCCUGUCAAAUAUUUAAUCAAUUUUGGCUAUUAAUUAAUUUAACGGAAAUUCUGAUAAAUUUUAUAAAAAGAAACACCAUGAAUGUCCCUUUAAAUUCCAAAGACCCCAACAUUAAAAACUACCUUCAGAAACCAACAGCUUAAAGUAUUGUACUCCUUUCUGUCUAUAAUAAUUUCGCUUUUGAAAUACCCCUUAAACAAUACUAAUUCCUAAAAAAAGACGAAGAUAUGUGUAUUAAAUUAUCCUUAAUUAAAAUUAGUAUAUUAUUAGAUGGACACAUUGAGAUUUGAAAACAAGGGCAAAGUUUGAAAAAAUAAAAUUAAUUUCUUUUUUAUUAUAUAAGAGAUCAUUCAUUUUGAAUCAAAAUAAAUAAGAUAAAAAUUAUGGACUGGAGAGAGUAUUAGACACCAUGAAAAAAGUGUAACAGAAAUUGAACCUCCAAAUAUGACUUCCCGUUUAUUUUUGUUAGCUUUCAGUUUCUUUUAAAAAAUAGAAUUUAUUAAAUACUUGACGUCUAUCAAAAGUACCAAAAUUGCGAUACUACAGAGACGCACCCUAAGCAUAAGGGACCAUUUUCGUCAUUUUCUCAAAAAUAAUUUUCAAUUCUUUGAGCCCAAUAAUUUUCUAUUCCAGCAAGAAUGACGAAUUGAUUGACGUACUAAUUUUUAUUUUGAAUUCCGUGUAUAACUUUUAGAUUUAUUUUUAGAAACUUAAAUAUUGUACUAUUACUACGUAAAAUUGUUGUCGGUCAAAAUUAUUUACCGUUAACAAUAUUUAAAAUCUAAAAACUGUUCAACGUUCUAAAACAGAGAGUGUUAUUCCUAUUGGAAGGAAGGAGUACUUUUCUCAAUUCAAGGAUUAGGGCAAAAAGGUAGUAAGUAAUCGAGCGUUUUCCUUUUCCUUAUCGAUAGUACUAGUAGCACGCAUAUAGUAUACACCAUAUUAUUUAAUUGGUUUCAGCUAUCGUACUUUUAUGUGGUUACCAUUUUGGCAAUACUUAUUCUUCCUCCCCCNNNNNNNNNNNNNNNNNNNNNNNNNNNNNNNNNNNNNNNNNNNNNNNNNNNNNNNNNNNNNNNNNNNNNCCCCCCCCCCCCCCCUCCUCUUUAAUUAUUUUUCUUCUUCUUUUCUCCAUUUGCUUCUUCUUAUUCUUUUCUGUAUAUUGAAGUUGAACGAGUUACCCAGAGUUUAACUUUUAUAUAGACGACUUCGAAAUGGAGUUUUGACGGUUCCUACAGCUAUGUAUGAUGAUUUU
rnacentral:lncRNA from 1 species